rnacentral:rRNA from 1 species
UACGUAGGGGGCGAGCGUUAUCCGGAAUUACUGGGCGUAAAGCGCACGCAGGCGGUUCGCCAAGUUUGGAGUGACAGUUGUCGGCUCAACCGGCAAAGGACUUCAAAAACUGGUGAACUUGAGGACGAGAGAGGAACAUGGAACUCCAGGUGUAGUAGUGAAAUGCGUAGAUAUCUGGAAGAACACCAAUGGCGAAGGCAAUGUUCUGGCUCGUUUCUGACGCUCAGGUGCGAAAGCCAGGGGAGCGAACGGG